GUAGUAAGUGAAUAAAUAGGGGGCAAGUCAGCCCCGCGAAACGUGCAGCAAAGCGGCGCCUUUCCGGCCCUUGCGCGCCCCUCUCGAGAUCCCUGCCGCGGCCCCAUCGGAGAGGCUGCGGCGGCUGUGGGCUGUCCGAGCCCCCCUUGGCUUCCCCCCGUUGCAUUUCCCUCGGUUGAAAGGAAGGCGCGGGAGCUUGGUUUGCAACGGAAAGGGAGUCUCUUCCUCCGCCUCGUCUCGGGGGCUUCUCCCCUGUCCUCCCUCCUCACUGAGGGACAGUCGCUUGGCUCGGUUAUUUCUUUGGCAGGGACACAGCUUUCAGAUUGUGGCGCCUUCAGAAGGAGCGUCUGGAGAAAGAGGAGAUUCGCGCCCAGGAAGCUCUCGCCCUCCUGGAGAAAAAGAGGCUGGUGAGCGCGUUUGAGGCCUGGCGUUCCCGCUACAGGGCAGCCCGGCGGAUCCUGCCAUUGGUGGCUCAGGUGCAGAGAGGGCUGCUAAGCCGCUGUUUCCAGGCCUGGAAGUCUGUCACCGACCGGGCGGCGCUAUGCAGGCAUGGCAGGGAACGCCUGCGACUCGAAUCCCUGAGGGUGCAUUUCCAUCAAUGGGCCCUGAUGUUGCAAGUCCGGGAAAAGGCCAAGAAGACUCUGCUGGAGCUGUGGGCCUUGAAGUGGAGGCGAGCCCACGGAAGGCAGCUCGGAGGACGGUAGCCAGGCUAGCAUCUCCUCGUCGUUGACGAUUGAAGACUCAGGGCACCUUCCUCAUCACGGCUCCCCUUCUCCCAGCCAUUUCCCCAGUGACUCGCAAGAUCUCGCUGCCACAGAUCUUCACAUGCAAGCGCCGUUCCCUCUGGGUUAUGGCCACACCCAGAAUCGGAGGCAGCUGCUGGCGAAAUGCUUUGCGUUUUGGUCGGCCAGGACUGUGCAAAACCUGAAGGCAGAACAACACCGCAAGCGGGCUCUCCUCUCCGGGGCUUUCACUUCCUGGUCCGCGGCAGCCGACCGCUUUUCUACAUGGCGCAUGACUCUAGCGUGGUUGGAGAGGGCCAGGGGGCAGCGUCUUCUGGCGUCCUGCUUCGGGAGGUGGAAGGCGGAGUUCCAGAGAGCUGAGCGACGACGGAAAGGCGAACGCCCACGGCGGAGACUGGCGGGGUACGGGGCGAUGUGGCGAUGGAGGAAAGCGAUCAGGGGGUCCUGGGCUCUGCGUUUUAGCUCCGUCAGCCAGAUCUCAGGCCCAACUGAACAGGCCUCGGUCCAGUAUACCUGAAGGAGC